ensembl:lncRNA
AAAUUGCUUAUUCCAUUCCAUAAAAUACAGUGAAGUAUUUGUUUUCUCAUUUACAGUGUACCAAAUGUAGGCUACUUUUAAACUUUUGUCCAUACAAUUGUGUUUAAUCUAAAAUUUUAUCUUUUAAAGGAACACAUUCACGCUUGUGUGUGUGGUCUUUAGAUUCCUAUUCAUUUUGUAAAUAUUGCCUAAGCCUAACAGUUUAAGAACAAUCACACCAGCAUAGAUGAAAAACGAUCAGUACACAAUUACAAGUUUAUUUCAGCUGUUGUACUCAAUGAUAACAACUAACAACAUAGUUUUAAAGCAUUGCAAGCUACAGCACAACGAACUGAAAUCAAAGUAAUGUACAUUUAUGCUGAAUGUCUGGAAUCAUUCAGUCAGUGACGACUGCACAAAAAGUGCAGACUAAUAAAAACAUUAUAAACUGUUACAAAAUUAUGAACAAAUGUAGUUUGGGCAUAGGUUUAUGCAACGCUGUAAAUAUAUUUACCUUUUUUAAAAUAUUCCAUUAAACCUGCUGAGAAAAUUCUCAGUUCCACGCGCAUGUCCGGGAAUCUCAUGAAUAUUCAUGUAUGCUCCGCCCACUGAAACCGAAAAUCUCGUAACACCGGUGUGGUGUGUGUGUGUGGUAGGGGUACGCAUCGCGGUGCGCACUGCAGCUCUCCUGCCUCACUGGCACUGUCCUCCGUGAUCGGUUUUAAAUACGGCAUGUUGUUUGAGUGCUGCUGUGAGCUCGCGGAACCUGCGCUUUUCCUCUAAACUCGAGAGUGGAGAAACAGCUGAUCCACGGAUGAUCGUCUGAGCUGACAGCGUUAGCUGUAUUCAGACAUGUUUGGCCGGUCUCAGACACAACAGGGCUCGUCUGAUCUUGUCACACUCUGUUAUCGAACGAGGGGGCAAUUGCAAUUUUCUCAGGAUAACAGGGAGGCAACAAUCACCAGAGCCAAACAAGUGUUCAGCUUUUUUCCCCCAAGUGUAUCGACAUAUUUGAGGUUUUUGUGCCUCUGAGGUGCAUUUGGUCGAUGAAGGCGACUCAUCAUUGUGAUGUAUAAUGGCUCCUGUGCUGAGUGCUAUGUUGGGGUCAGGGGCCGUGGGGUCAGAGGUCGCGGGGGCAGCAGCGCUGGCUGAAGGGGAGCUGGCAGUUGUAGGCACACUCACGGCACUCACAGCUUUCCUGCUGCUUUCUGUCCUGCUGCUGCUGUGUGCAAGCUGCCAGGGGUGAGUAUCAUUAAAACACUUAUAUUCUUUGGUACAUCUAAUAUUUUUAUUGUAUGUCUUUUUUUUUUGCUGAAAAUUACAUAAUGUUGUUUUAAACUAUAGAGUAGACUUGAUAAUAGCUGAUACUAAUAUAUGAAAAUAUGCUAUCAAUAUAAUAAUUGGAACAACAUCAAUAACAAAAUUCAACACUUCCCUCAUCUCUGUUAUUACAUAUUUUGUUAAUUACAUAUGAAUUUAAUUAUGCUUUCUAAAUUAUUACGCUUUCCUCCACUGAUAUUAGUGUUAUGCUCUAAUCUUUAUUUAACACAUUUUACCAUAAAUCCAUUCUGCAGGAUUCCACAGAAUUGUUUCUCCCCAAAUUGGCAUGGAAAAUUACAAAAUACCCCCAGGACCUGUAAAUGAAAUGUGCAAAAUUAUUUAAAUUCAAUGAACCCUUAUUUUACACAAUAUUUACUCAAAUAAUAUUUAUACAAAAGGUGUACUUUGAAUACUAACUAUUAAUAUUAAAAUUUUAUUAAUAUUAAAAAAUAUUUAGGAUUUCAGUUCUUAAUUUUCAGUUGU